CGUACAUUCCCUGUGUUGUCAGUUAGGUUCAACAAGAUGGGGAGUGAGCAGAGUACAGAAGUAUCUUUUUGUGAUAAGGGGGUUGUUAACUCAACUUGUCCAUCUGCAGUAAAGGUAAUGGAAGCCUGGAGCCGAGAGAGGACAUCGGCACCUAGGAGGUUAAUGGGGCAAGUGGAAGAAACAACAAAACGGGACAGAAUGUGUGAACCUACAUGUAAGAGCUUAGUAAG